CAGCUCCCACCACCCAUUUAACCUGUGACACCGUCAUUGGCAGCCAUAGUCAACAAUGAUUUCUUCCUGUAGUUCAUUCAUUUCACAAAUAUUUCUUGAGUAUUUAUUAUGUGCCAAGUAGAUUAAAUAAAAAUUAAUGAGCCUAAGUACUAAGGUAGAGAAAGUACAUGUUUCCUGGCCUUAAUACCUCUCUAGGACCUUUUUAGUCUCCGAUUACCUUAUUUUUUCACAAUGUGUUUAUAUGAUCUUCUGCUCUAGUUUUAUGAGUGUUUGGCUGGCCAGGGAGGAUCCUGAUGUUCUUAAAUAACCUUUCUUUUAUGCCCUUUUCUUCUCUCUUUUCUCUUCUCUGUGAAUUUUUGCUGCCUUAGGCUGUCAAAUAAACACAUUGCUAGGAGGAUCACCUCAACCUGUAGGAACUUCCUUCCUGCCAAGAAGCUGGUUCAUUCAUCACCAAGCAUCAUCAUCAUGGAAUUCUCACCCUGCUGGAGGUUCGAGCCAAGACAUAGAAAGAGGACAUUACCUGGGGCAGGAAUCAAUUGCCUAUCACUGGGGAUGCCUGCAGAUCAUUGUCCAGAGUGGCUGCUGUUCACUGAGUGUUUCCUCUGUGCCGGGCACCUUGCACACCUUAUUUUCAGUCUCCGCAGCUGCCUUGUUGAGGGAACACCACAUCACAAGGUCUGUGGGAGUUGGAGAAAACUCUCGCUGACUCCCUGAAUAUAGUCCCAGUGGGAACCACCUUGGGGAGAGGCUCUGUCCAGCUGAACCCUCCAGUGCACAGUAUGCUUGGCUGCAGAGGCUUGGAGUGAGAGAGGAGACCAGGGUCCAGCUUCUCGGACAGCACUCACUGGGUUCUAGAGGCAAGAAGUCUGGAAUAAGUAUCACUGGGCCAAAAUCAAGGUGUCAGAAGAACUUCACAUCCCCCAAAACCUCCAGGAGAGAAGCCAUUCCUUGCCACUUCCAACUUCUGAGCCUCCAGAUAUUCUUUGACUUGUAUCUGUGUCACGCCAAUCUCUGCCACUGUCUUCACAUGGCCUUCUCUUCUGUGUCUCUCCAAUUUGCCUUUGUAUUUCUCCUAUAAAGACACUAUCAUUGGAUGUAGGGCCUACCUGGAUGAUUGAGAAUGAUCUCCUGUCGAGAUCUGUAAUUAUAUCUAAAAAGGGCCUUUUUCCAAAUGUUACAUGGUGAACAUGUUUCGGGGGAACUAGCAUUCAACCUGCUACAGCGUCCUCUAGCUAGGAAGUGGUAGAAGCAGGACCUAAUGUAGAUCUAGCCACAAUCCCACAUGGAUUGCUUAGACUGCAUCAAUUGUGAAUGACAGACACCCAGUGCAACUUAAGCUUUCUGCAUUGCUGUUGAAUAGGGGGAGGAGGAAAUGGUGGAUACAGAGUCACUGUAGCUGAAGAUGCCAAAGGUAGACAUUUCUAGUUGCAGACAUCAUCUACAUUUUGUGGUCAGGGCUCAAGCCAUCUCUUGGGCAGGCUUUCUUCACCCAGUAGGUGAAAUGUCUUCUGUUAGCUCAACACCCACAGUCCUCUAGUGUGGCCAGUGGAAAGUGACUUCUCUUUCCAUUAACUCAAGAGAAAAAGCCCGAAAAGCUUUGGCCCUGCCAAAAUCACAUCACCCUGGUGAAAUCACAUGAUCAGCCCUAAACCAAUCACUCUAGCCAGGGAGAUCAUUUAUUCAAUAGCAAUAAUAAAUAUAUAUUGAGUACAUUCUAUGUGUCAGGAAUUCUUCAAGAUGUAUAAAAAUACCCCAGCAAACAGAAGACAAAUUCCUACCCUCAUGGAGCUUAUAUUCUAGAGGAAAAUACAGACAAUUAACAUAUAAACAAAUUUUAAAAACUGUCAUUCAAAUUCAGACAGAGAGUAGAGCUAUGUAAUAAAUUAAUUAGGGCAAUGUGCUUAAAAAUGGCCAGAGGUGGUGUGGACUCCUUUAGCCGGUAUGAUCAGUUAAGACCUCUCUGUAGAGGUGGUAGAUGAGGUGCAACUCAAGUCACGGGAGGCAACCGUUUAAAGAUUUGUGGAAGAUCAUUCUAAAUGGAAGGAAUAGCAGGUGCAAAGACAGUGGGGUGGGAACAACCUUAGAGGAACAGAAACAUGGACAGUACAGCUUGACUAUAGUCCAUGAGCAGGAGAGAGUAUGAGAUGGAGUACUUCAGUGGUGAAACUGGGAUCUCAAAACCAAAAUGUGAUUUCCAACCCAUCUGCUCUUUAACUCUUUUCUACACAACCUUGCUCAGGAGAGGUAUGUCUGUCCACCAAGCAUAGGUCUCCUGUGCAUUGUGUCACCCCUCUCACUGCAUGGCUAGAAGAUGUUCUUUGAGCAGCUGGAAGAUUGUAAAUAUGACACCAUCUAUUUGGUGGGUGAUUUUUGCUCCUUCUGGUAUAAGAGGAUAUAAGUGGGGAAAUAGAACAAGAGUUAACAAACUCUGUAAGGUCUCAUUGGAUCUUCACCCUAACUCAAACUUGGUCCAAACAAAACUCUUUGACAAUAUUUAGGUGUGAGUAGGGGAGUUGAUAAAUGAUGUUUUCUCUCUUCUCUUCUUUUUCACUUUUAUACGCCUCUGGGUUGAUGGUUUCUGGCCAAGGCCAGAGGUACUAAAAUACCACAAGAAAGGAGAACUUUGAAGUGAUCAUCUGUUCAGCCAAGAAGGAGGUGGUGCUGCCUGAAGGUUCACCAGGAAUGCGGUCUUCUGGAGCUUUAGACAGAGUUCCUAGGAGGCCCCCAGAGACAGACAGAUGCCUUGGAGUUGAUUUGGAGAAACAUCUGAACUUCUGGAUGGAGUUCUGAGCCGAGCCUGAAACCCUCUGGGAGCCUUCAUUUGCUCCCAGACAAUCCAUGGAAACACCUGUUCCAAGUCUGAGCUGACUGGACCACCGCCUUUGAUUUUGGAAAACUCAGAGACCAGAUCUUGAAUCGUCCUUUCAGAAUGUACUCUGGAAUUCCUUGUUCUUCAGUGCAAAGAUUUAGAUAAAGUUAUCUGACCAUGUGAAUGACAGAUCUGAGAAUGUGAUGACUUUAUUGAUAGGUCCUACUGGACAGUUCCUUGGCCCAGCAGCAUCAGCACCUCCUGGGAUCUUGCUAGAAAUACUAAAUCUCAGGCCCUACCCCAGACCUGCUAUUUUAGAAUCUGUAAUUUAACAAGAUCCCAGUUAAUUAGCAUGCACAUUCCAGUUUGAGAAAAGCGGCACUAAAAAGCUUUGUCAAAUAGGCAGUGUGCUCCCAUUUCUCGGUAUUGUGCCUGUGACAGGCAUCAAUAAUCAACCAGAGAAUCACUUCCUUCUGAGAGCAGAAUAUUCUCAAGUCAUGGUUUCAGGUCGCAGUGACCAAUCAAUGGGAGUUGGAUCAAAAUUAAACCUAUCUUCCAUACUGGUGUCAACACUUGAAGAAAGCUCUUUUAUUUCCACCCAUAUACACAUCAUACAUGCCUGAUAAAUGUUUGUGGAAUGAAUGUGUUUUCCCCUAGCCUUGUUUCCUGUGAUAUUCACACUAUUCCAGUCCAUACCCACAGAAAAUCAGAACUUCACUGGGCAUCUGGGAAGUUCAGCAGCUGUUCUAGGUGUUGGAUUUUGCUAUUGGCCAUGACCCAUUAGAAGGUUGAGGUGAGGUUGGAAAGAUGUUAGGGAUGGAAUGAAGACACUUGGGAACCCAUCUCGCUGUGGCACAUGGACCUCAAACCAUGCAAGUUUUCUUUUUUCUUUCUUUCUUUUUUUCUUUUUCUUGAGAUGGAGUCUUGCUCUGUCUCCCAGGCUGGAGUGCAAGGGCGCGAUCUCGGCUUACUGCACCCUCUGCCUCCCAGGUUCAAGCUACUCUCCUGCCUCAGCCUCCUGAGUAGCUGGGAUUACAGGGGCAUGCCACCAUGCCCAGCUAACUUUUGUAUUUUUAGUAGAGACGGGGUCUCACCAUGUCAGCCAGGCUUGUCUCAAACUCCUGACCUCAGGUGAUCCGCCCACCUCUGCCUCCCAAAGUACUGGGAUUACAGGCGUGAGUCACCAUGCUUGGCCGCAAGUUUUCUUCAGGACAUGGCCCCAUGUAGUCCAGCUCUACAAGGUGGCUGCUGUGUGAACUAGGCUACAUGCCGAAACGGGACUGUCGGGGGAAUCAGCAGGGGGGGCAGACCAACAGCCCUGUAAGACAUAGCAAUAAUGAUUAUAAAUAGCAUCCUUCUGACCGCCUUUUGAUGUACUGUCCAAGGCCAGGUGGAAAAUCUUUCCUCCCCUGCCUUUCCCCACUAAUCACCUUCCCCUCAUUUUUCAAUAAAGAUUCUGAGCCCAGUC
rnacentral:lncRNA from 1 species